rnacentral:rRNA from 1 species
AGGCCCGGACACUGGAAGGAUUGACAGAUUGAGAGCUCUUUCUCGAUUCGGUGGGUGGUGGGGCAUGGCCGUUCUUAGCUGGUGGAGUGAUUUGUCUGGUUAAUUCCGAUAKCGAACGAGACMUUAACUUUUCUUCAUAGAGUGGCGUCUAGCCACACGAGAUUGAGCAAUAACAGGUCUGUGAUACCCUCAGGUCU